UCAACGGAGAGUUUGAUCCUGGCUCAGGACGAACGCUGGCGGCGUGCUUAACACAUGCAAGUCGAGCGGUAAGGCCCUUCGGGGUACACGAGCGGCGAACGGGUGAGUAACACGUGGGUGAUCUGCCCUGCACUCUGGGAUAAGCCUGGGAAACUGGGUCUAAUACCGGAUAUGAGCUCCUGUCGCAUGGCGGGGGUUGGAAAGGUUUACUGGUGCAGGAUGGGCCCGCGGCCUAUCAGCUUGUUGGUGGGGUAAUGGCCUACCAAGGCGACGACGGGUAGCCGGCCUGAGAGGGCGACCGGCCACACUGGGACUGAGACACGGCCCAGACUCCUACGGGAGGCAGCAGUGGGGAAUAUUGCACAAUGGGCGAAAGCCUGAUGCAGCGACGCCGCGUGAGGGAUGACGGCCUUCGGGUUGUAAACCUCUUUCAGCAGGGACGAAGCGA
rnacentral:rRNA from 1 species